rnacentral:tRNA from 1 species
UAGCUCAGUGGUAGAGUGGAUGCCUAGCAUGCAUGAGGUCCUGGGUUCAAUCCCCAG